CGUACGAUACGGAGUUUGAUCCUGGCUCAGAACGAACGCUGGCGGCAGGCCUAACACAUGCAAGUCGAGCGCCCCAGCGAUGGGGAGCGGCGGACGGGUGAGUAACGCGUGGGAACGUGCCUCUUGCUACGGAAUAGCCUCGGGAAACUGGGAGUAAUACCGUAUGUGCCCUACGGGGGAAAGAUUUAUCGGCAAGAGAUCGGCCCGCGUUGGAUUAGGUAGUUGGUGGGGUAAUGGCCUACCAAGCCGACGAUCCAUAGCUGGUUUGAGAGGAUGAUCAGCCACACUGGGACUGAGACACGGCCCAGACUCCUACGGGAGGCAGCAGUGGGGAAUCUUAGACAAUGGGCGCAAGCCUGAUCUAGCCAUGCCGCGUGAGCGAUGAAGGCCUUAGGGUUGUAAAGCUCUUUCAGUGGGGAAGAUAAUGACUGUACCCACAGAAGAAGCCCCGGCUAACUCCGUG
rnacentral:rRNA from 1 species